rnacentral:rRNA from 1 species
GUGAGGGAUAUUGGUCAAUGGCCGAGAGGCUGAACCAGCCAAGUCGCGUGAGGGAUGAAGGUUCUAUGGAUCGUAAACCUCUUUUAUAAGGGAAUAAAGUGCGGGACGUGUCCCGUUUUGUAUGUACCUUAUGAAUAAGGAUCGGCUAACUCCGUGCCAGCAGCCGCGGUAAUACGGAGGAUCCGAGCGUUAUCCGGAUUUAUUGGGUUUAAAGGGUGCGUAGGCGGCCUUUUAAGUCAGCGGUGAAAGUCUGUGGCUCAACAAAAGAAUUGCGGUUGAAUCUGGGAGGCUUGAGUAUGUUUGAGGCAGGCGGAAUGCGUGGUGUAGCGGUGAAAUGCUUAGAUAUCACGCAGAACCACGAUUGCGAAGGCAGCCUGCCAAGCCAUGACUGACGCUGAUGCACGAAAGCGUGGGGAUCAAACAGG